CGGGGCGUAGUAUAACGGAAGUACACAGCCUUCGGGAGGCUGAGGUCUGGGUUCAAUUCCCAGCGCCCCGA
rnacentral:tRNA from 1 species